AACGAACGCUGGCGGCAGGCCUAACACAUGCAAGUCGAGCGAUCCUUUCGGGGAUAGCGGCGGACGGGUGAGUAACGCGUGGGAACGUACCCUUUGCUACGGAAUAGCCCCGGGAAACUGGGAGUAAUACCGUAUGUGCCCUCUGGGGGAAAGAUUUAUCGGCAAAGGAUCGGCCCGCAUUGGAUUAGGUAGUUGGUGGGGUAAUGGCCUACCAAGCCGACGAUCCAUAGCUGGUUUGAGAGGAUGAUCAGCCACACUGGGACUGAGACACGGCCCAGACUCCUACGGGAGGCAGCAGUGGGGAAUCUUAGACAAUGGGGGCAACCCUGAUCUAGCCAUGCCGCGUGAGUGAUGAAGGCCCUAGGGUUGUAAAGCUCUUUCAGCUGGGAAGAUAAUGACGGUACCAGCAGAAGAAGCCCCGGCUAACUCCGUG
rnacentral:rRNA from 1 species